GCAGGGGUGGUGGAACUGGUAGACACGUAUGUUUGAGGGGCAUAUGGUAGAGAUACCGUGAGGGUUCGAGUCCCUUCUCCUGCA
rnacentral:tRNA from 1 species